rnacentral:rRNA from 1 species
UGCAAGUCGGACGGCAGCACAGAGAAGCUUGCUUCUUGGGUGGCGAGUGGCGAACGGGUGAGUAACAUAUCGGAACGUACCGAGUAAUGGGGGAUAACUAAUCGAAAGAUUAGCUAAUACCGCAUAUUCUCUGAGGAGGAAAGCAGGGGACCUUCGGGCCUUGCGUUAUUCGAGCGGCCGAUAUCUGAUUAGCUAGUUGGUGGGGUAAAGGCCUACCAAGGCGACGAUCAGUAGCGGGUCUGAGAGGAUGAUCCGCCACACUGGGACUGAGACACGGCCCAGACUCCUACGGGAGGCAGCAGUGGGGAAUUUUGGACAAUGGGCGCAAGCCUGAUCCAGCCAUGCCGCGUGUCUGAAGAAGGCCUUCGGGUUGUAAAGGACUUUUGUCAGGGAAGAAAAGGCUGUUGCUAAUACCGACAGUUGAUGACGGUACCUGAAGAAUAAGCACCGGCUAACUACGUGCCAGCAGCCGCGGUAAUACGUAGGGUGCGAGCGUUAAUCGGAAUUACUGGGCGUAAAGCGAGCGCAGACGGUUACUUAAGCAGGAUGUGAAAUCCCCGGGCUCAACCUGGGAACUGCGUUCUGAACUGGGUGACUAGAGUGUGUCAGAGGGAGGUAGAAUUCCACGUGUAGCAGUGAAAUGCGUAGAGAUGUGGAGGAAUACCGAUGGCGAAGGCAGCCUCCUGGGAUAACACUGACGUUCAUGCUCGAAAGCGUGGGUAGCAAACAGGAUUAGAUACCCUGGUAGUCCACGCCCUAAACGAUGUCAAUUAGCUGUUGGGCAACUUGAUUGCUUAGUAGCGUAGCUAACGCGUGAAAUUGACCGCCUGGGGAGUACGGUCGCAAGAUUAAAACUCAAAGGAAUUGACGGGGACCCGCACAAGCGGUGGAUGAUGUGGAUUAAUUCGAUGCAACGCGAAGAACCUUACCUGGUCUUGACAUGUACGGAAUCCUCCAGAGACGGAGGAAUGCCUUCGGGAACCGUAACACAGGU